AUGGGGUCCCUCAUCGGCCAUGUUGCGCCGGGAGCCGGUUUCCUCCUCAUCGGCCUGUGGCAUCUCUUCAACCACAUCCGUCUGCUGGCGCUGAGUCCCAGCUCCUACGUCGCGCCGGUCUGGUUCCCGUUCCCGGCGCGGGGCCUCCGGCACCUCGAGCUCAUCCUCAUCAUCGUCGGGUCGUCGGCGUCCAUCUUCAUGGAGCUCUUCGGCAGCCCCAGGAAGCACCAACCGUUCGACGACGACGGCACCAUCCCCUCCGUGCACCUCCACAACCUGGAGCACGCGUCCAUCUCGCUCGCGCUGCUCCUCUUCGCCGCGGCCACCCUCCACAUGGACAGGGUCCGGGCGCCCAUGCGGGACGCCGUCUCGCAGCUGGUCGCCGCCGCGGCGCUCGCGCAGGAGCUGCUCAUGUUCCACCUCCACUCCACGGACCACAUGGGCGUGGAGGGGCAGUUCCACUGGCUGCUGCAGGCCGUCAUCGCGGUCACGCUCGCCGCCACGCUGCUGUGGUUCGCCUGCCCUGGGAGCUUCGCCGUGAGCCUGGUGCGGUCCGCGAGCAUCGUUUUGCAGGGCGUCUGGUUCAUCGUCAUGGGCGUCAUGCUCUGGACGCCGGGGCUCAUCUCCAAGGGAUGCUUCAUCAACCUCGAGGAAGGCCACAACGUUGUCCGCUGCCGCACCGACGAGGCGCUCCACCGCGCAAAGUCCCUCGUCAACCUGCAGUUCAGCUGGUACCUCACCGCCACCGUGCUGUUCGUCGUCGUGUUGUACCUCCAGCUCACCAAGCUGUACCACGAGGAGCCGCGCUACCUUCCGCUGGUGAAGACAAGCCACGCCGACGGCAGGUCCGGAUCUGUCGAGGACGAUGACGGCGACGAUGACGACGACCACGUCGAGGCCGCAAAGCGUACCUUCGGUCACGGUCACGUGGUCAGCGGCACACAUUAA
rnacentral:rRNA from 1 species